rnacentral:rRNA from 1 species
UACGUAGGGUGCAAGCGUUGUCCGGAAUUAUUGGGCGUAAAGAGCGUGUAGGCGGCCCGAUUAGUCCGCUGUGAAAGUCCAGGGCUCAACCCUGGAAUGCCGGUGGAUACUGUCGGGCUAGAGUCCGGAAGGGGCGAGUGGAAUUCCUGGUGUAGCGGUGAAAUGACGCAGAUAUCGGGAGGAACACCUAUGGCGAAGGCAGCUCGCUGGGACGUUACUGACGCUGAGACGCGAAAGCGUGGGGAGCAAACAGG